AGAACGAACGCUGGCGGCAGGCCUCAAACAUGCAAGUCUAGGGGAUGUAGCAAUACAUCACCGGCGGACGGGUGCGUAACACGUGGGAAUAUACCUUUCGGUACGGAACAACUGCGGGAAACUGCAGCUAAUACCGUAUACGUCCUUACGGAGAAAGAUUUAUCGCCGAAGGAUUAGCCCGCGUUCGAUUAGCUAGUUGGUGAGGUAAUGGCUCACCAAGGCGACGAUCGAUAGCUGUUCUGAGAGGAAGAUCAGCCACACUGGGACUGAGACACGGCCCAGACUCCUACGGGAGGCAGCAGUUGGGAAUCUUGGACAAUGGGGGAAACCCUGAUCCAGCCAUGCCGCGUGAGUGAUGAAGGCCUUCGGGUUGUAAAGCUCUUUUACCCGGGAAGAUAAUGACUGUACCGGGAGAAUAGCUCCGGCUAACUUCGUGCCAGCAGCCGC
rnacentral:rRNA from 1 species